GAGUUUGAUCAUGGCUCAGGAUGAACGCUGGCGGCGUGCCUAAUACAUGCAAGUCGAGCGAGAUUCUGUCAGAUGAGACUUCGGUGGAUUCAGACGGAUGAAAGCGGCGGACGGGUGAGUAACGCGUAGGCAACCUGCCCCAUGCACAGGGAUAGCCACUGGAAACGGUGAUUAAUACCUGAUAACGCGGACCGUAUGCAUAUACGGACUGCCAAAGAUUUAUCGGCAAGGGAUGGGCCUGCGUCUGAUUAGCUGGUUGGUGAGGUAACGGCUCACCAAGGCGACGAUCAGUAGCCGACCUGAGAGGGUGAUCGGCCACAUUGGAACUGAGACACGGUCCAAACUCCUACGGGAGGCAGCAGUAGGGAAUCUUGCACAAUGGGCGAAAGCCUGAUGCAGCAACGCCGCGUGAAGGAAGAAGGCCUUCGGGUUGUAAACUUCUUUUCUCGGGGAAGAAACAAAUGACGGUACCUGAGGAAUAAGCCCCGGCUAACUACGUGCCAGCAGCCGCGGUAAUACGUAGGGGGCAAGCGUUAUCCGGAAUUAUUGGGCGUAAAGAGUGCGUAGGUGGUUACCUAAGCGCAAGGUUUAAACUAUCGGCUUAACUGAUACUCGCCUUGCGAACUGGGCUACUUGAGUGCAGGAGGGGAAAGCGGAAUUCCUAGUGUAGCGGUGAAAUGCGUAGAUAUUAGGAGGAACACCAGCGGCGAAUGCGGCUUUCUGGACUGUAACUGACACUGAGGCACGAAAGCGUGGGGAGCAAACAGGAUUAGAUACCCUGGUAGUCCACGCCGUAAACGAUGAGCACUAGCUGUUGGUCCCGAACGG
rnacentral:rRNA from 1 species